rnacentral:rRNA from 1 species
AUGGCGCGUCGCGCGAGGCUGAGGCCACCGGAAGGAGGACGUCAGGCGUUGCUCGAAACAUCAAGGGGGCGGCCAUGGCGCUUGGAGAUCCUGUUGGCGGCAAUGAAGAGAGGCGGUGGCGUCGCAGGCCAGCGAGCACUUGAGGGUGCGGGGCGGUGCAGGGCUCCUGUGGUAGGAGCUGAACGGCGCGGCUCGAGCUUGGAGGGGAACGAGCCAGCGAGGGAAGAGGCCUUGGAGGUCGCCGGCGUCGAAGAUGCGUUCCUGCUGGUCGCUGCCGACAAGCUCUUGUUGGCUGCUGGUGCUCCGGCGACAUCGGAGAUCGAGGCAAGCUCAAGGACGAGAGGAAGGAGACCUACAGGGACGUGGCAUAGGUGCGCGAGCCGAGGAGCUCCUGCUCCUGCUCCUGUGGUCACGGUCCGAGGCGGUGAGGGGAUCGGGCGUCGAGGGUAG